rnacentral:rRNA from 1 species
CACGUAGGGGGCAAGCGUUGUCCGGAAUCAUUGGGCGUAAAGAGCUCGUAGGCGGCUCAAUAAGUCGGGUGUGAAACCCCCAGGCUCAACCUGGGGACGCCACCCGAUACUGUUGUGGCUAGAGUCCAGUAGGGGAGUGUGGAAUUCCCGGUGUAGUGGUGGAAUGCGUAGAGAUCGGGAGGAACACCAGUGGCGAAGGCGGCUCGCUGGGCCGGUCCUGACGCUCAGGCGCGAAAGCGUGGGGAGCGAUCCGG